rnacentral:rRNA from 1 species
UACGAAGGGGGCUAGCGUUGUUCGGAAUUACUGGGCGUAAAGGGCGCGUAGGCGGCUCUGAUCGUCGGAUGUGAAAGGCCUGGGCUCAACCUGGGAAUGGCAAUGGAUACUGGCUGGCUAGAGUGUGUCAGAGGAUGGUGGAAUUCCCGGUGUAGCGGUGAAAUGCGUAGAGAUCGGGAGGAACAUCAGUGGCGAAGGCGGCCAUCUGGGACAACACUGACGCUGAAGCACGAAAGCGUGGGGAGCAAACAGG